rnacentral:sRNA from 1 species
CCCGGGUGUGGUGGUGCACGCCUGUAAUCCCAGCGGCUCAGGAGGCUGAGGCAGGAGGAUCGUGAAUCCAAAGCCAGCCUCAGCAAAAGUGAGUCAGUGAGCAACUCAGUGAGACCCUGUCUCUA